UCCUUUAGGGAAUAUACUCAUCCACUGGUGUCUAAUUCAUGAUUCCAAUUUAAUGGAGAGACCUUUCCAUAAUUAGUUGAGUAUAUGGUUUGCUGACACUUAAGAUUCCAAGUAUGGCCUUAACAGGUAGCUCAGCAAAAUGAGAAAACAGAAGGGUUUAUUUCAAUGGUAACAUCCAAAGAAGCAUAUGAUCAAAAUUAAACCUGGGAGCAUAUAGAAGUUGCUGUUAUGUCACAUCUUCUCAAGUGAACAUUACUACAUGGAUCUGCUUGUGAAAGAAGGGCUUGGGAGUGAUAGUUUUGAUCUUUACAGGUAAUGCAACUCUGCCUGGUGUCUGUACAUGUAUUCCAAGAUGAAACCCACCAACUUUAUCUAUCUUGCUGAUCAAACUGCGGCUACAACUGGUGGGAAUAAAGCUGAAAACAUUGACUUUAGAGGUUAAUUCUUAUGAAGUGAUCUUGUGAAAAUAUUGGCAUACACAAAAAGUAAGAUAAGGCAAAGUCCUUGUCAGUGCCAGCAGGAAGCUCUUUGUUUUCCUCUCUUGACAAAUGAUAACUUGCAUCUGUUAGUGUGAAUACACAUGAGGCUAGUUGUAUAAAGAAACGUGCAACUUAGGUGAUGUUUAUUUUUGUCUUAAAUCUGAAUAGAUCUUAAUUCAACCCGAGUGUUAAUAGAGUUGAAUGCUUAAGUCUUGAUGACAUGUUUGUUUUAUUUAGGAUCUGUAUGCCAUUAAAUCAAAACAAGUUGCUAUUAAAAAAACAAACACUUAUAAAAUGUCUUAUAGUCUAAAAGCAAGUUGCUUCAAGACUCAAAUCAAACAAAACCUUGGUGUUGUUUCAAGUCAUCCUGAUUGAAUUAGCGUUACCACUUCAUAAGUUUUAACUAGAUCCCUGUUUUGUUACACGAAAGAAGAUUGAUAACCUGCUGAUAACAUUUAUAUGUGGCCGAAAAGUUGCUUCAAUUUAAGCUCUGUAUGUCGCUGUUGUCAUUUAACACUUGCUGCUUCAAUUUAUGCAAUAAGUUGCUUUUUUGCUGGUGUCCUGAAUGCUGUGUUUACCUGUAUUUGAACUGUCACAAAGAAGUCCUAGACCAUCCUCAUUGGGGCCUCUGUAUUUAUGUCACUUGAUAACACUUAUUAUUAUUGCACUUGAAAAAUUAAAUAAAUUACAAUUGAUUCUUUUCCCCCUUUGUUGUCCAUUUACGUGAGCAAACAUAAGACUUGAAGUACCCCUUCAUGUUCCCAUGACAAGAGCUGCAUAUAGGAGCUGAUUCCAAGUAUCAGGCAAUCCAGGAAGGCACCAGUGACUGCAGUCCAUGCCCGUACGAUCUUCGCCAUAAGCGGAUGGAUGAGCGUCUUUUCUCAAUUGUGAGAGUGUUGUAAUAUCGAGCAGAUAGACUGGUUUUCUAAUCUUACUCAACACUUGGUUUACAAUAGCAGCUGCUGCAGGUGCACCCGCUGGAAAUAAUUUAGUGUAAAUACAGUUGCAAGCUGGAAAGAUUCCGAUGUAGAAUGUAUGUAGUAGGGAGGAAGCUUACAUAUAAUGGGUGGGAGAAAUCCCCUGGAAGAAAACUUUGGUUUUGGAAGGAUCAAUAUUAAGGUCAACCCAAGAGGCCCAUGUGCUCAACCCUUUAUAAAAUGCAGUGAGGCGGUCCAUAUCUUUAUACAAUUUGGUUCCUUCGCUCAUAUAAUCCCAUCUGCUCUUCCAUCAAACACUCAAAUUAAUUUCCUAAUUGUUGAAGAGAAAGAGCAGAAGGAAGAAGAUGGAUGGUACCGUACCCCUGAGAAUUGCCUUUGUGGGUCCACCAGUGCCACGUGUUGAAGAUCAGCAUGUCCAUCUGUUUCCAUGUAUACCCUGCUUGGAUGGAGUCCAGUUUCAGUACGCGCCCAACCGAUUCCCUCACUAUGUCUACUAGGUAGGGAGUACGGUACAGACUCACCGAUACAGCAUACCCCUGCACGCCCAUUGCCCAUACAUAUUCCCUAACCCAUUAAGCUCUGUUUGGAAGCAUGUGAAAUGAAGUAAAACAAUAAAAUACUAUGAAAUUUUCCUGUCAAUUUCAUGUAA